UACAGAGGUCCCAAGCGUUGUUCGGAUUCACUGGGCGUAAAGGGUGCGUAGGCGGUCGGGUAAGUCUGAUGUGAAAUCUCACAGCUUAACUGUGAAACUGCAUUGGAUACUAUCCGGCUAGAGGAAUGGAGGGGAGACUGGAAUACUUGGUGUAGCAGUGAAAUGCGUAGAUAUCAAGAGGAACACCGGUGGCGAAGGCGGGUCUCUGGGCCGAUACUGACGCUGAGGAGCGAAAGCUGGGGGAGCAAAAGGG
rnacentral:rRNA from 1 species